rnacentral:rRNA from 1 species
UUAUUAUGAGAGUUUGAUCCUGGCUCAGGACGAACGCUGGCGGCGUGCCUAAUACAUGCAAGUCGAACGCUUCUUUCCUCCCGAGUGCUUGCACUCAAUUGGAAAGAGGAGUGGCGGACGGGUGAGUAACACGUGGGUAACCUACCCAUCAGAGGGGGAUAACACUUGGAAACAGGUGCUAAUACCGCAUAACAGUUUAUGCCGCAUGGCAUAAGAGUGAAAGGCGCUUUCGGGUGUCGCUGAUGGAUGA